CUAGGAAGGCUACUAAGUCUGUCCCAUCAUUUUGUGAGGCAAGACCAAGGCACCUCCCCACCCCCCACACCUCUGUGUCUAGGCUAUGCAAGGUAUAUCUCCAUAUAGAAAGGGCUCCACUAAGUUUCUGCAUUAGAGUUAGAUCCUGGGUCCACUGCCAGUGGCCUCACAUAAUUGUCCCAGCUGCACCAUUGUCACCUAUAUUAAGGGAGUCUAGUUUGGUCUUAUGCAGGUUCCCCAUUUGUCAGACUGUGAUCAGUGAUCUCUCAUUAGCUCAGGUCAGCUGAUUCUUUGGGCUUCCCCAUCAUGGUCUUGACUCCUUGGUGACAGCUUUCUAACGUACUGUUCCAUAAUCUUUUGAUGCUUUUAGGCAUCACAGCUGAAUGGACCAAACAGAUCUUCUAUCUUCCCAAGUGAGUGAUCUUCCUUAAUCAGACCUCUGAUCACUUCAUGCUGCUGUGUGUUUAUGGUUCUCUGUCCCUCAAAGUCCCAUCUUCAUGGAACAUCCCUCAAGGCUUUAAUCACCUGGCUGCAGUCUACCUUUCCAACCUCAUUCUUCUCUCACUUUCGCUACAGCCUCUGCUACAUCCAAACUAGGCAGGCCUGUCCUUCCCUGAGGCAGCUUUCCCCUCCACGUUCCUUACCACAAAAUUGUUCCCUGGCUGUCCCUCUCCUUCACCCCCUUUCCUAGGCUUCCUCAACUUUUAUUUCCUCUGCCUCCACACCCUAUUAAGCUUUCAAGGUUUGGCUCCACAGUCACUGCAGAAAUGUAGAGCUCCAGAGGAAUGAGCAUUCCAGAGCUCAGGGCACGUGUUUUUCCUGACCCAACAGCCAGUGUCUGAUCGUGGGCAAGUUAAGCAUUUGAGCUUCUCAGCUACCCAAGUCUUGACAAAGGCUGAUAAAAGCCCCGGCUCAGAGGAGUGUUAGCAGGGUGCUUUGCCAGCUGCUGUGCCCAGAACUGGGGCCCACAUGCAGUAAAUGCUCAAUAAACCUCCUCCAAACCCACUGCAGAGUCAGUGUGAGGGAGGGAGAAGAGUCUAUGUCUGCUUUCGUCCUCACCGAGAGUCUGGAAGCUGGCCCAGCUUCUACUGCAUUGUAUGCACCGAGGAAAUGUACUACUGUACACGUGCCAGCCCUGUCCCCCCAUUCUGCUUUUUGUGUCAGCCCAGUGGAGAGGCCUAGAGAACCUCAGAGACACCAUCUGUCACAGAGAAUCUGAAGCACAGCAGAUGGAAGAAUCCCCUGUGGAGUUUACCAAAGUGAAUUCUGACUUGGGAGCUCUGAGUUGGGACCAGAGAUUCUGGAUUUUCACAAGCUCCCAGUAACCAAAGGUUGCUGCCAGUGACCACGAUGUCUUUGAACUAACUAGCAUCAGUGUAACCCUCCUGGCACCUGAAGAACUCAGACCUAUUAAAUGUCUGUUACCAUUUACUGUAUACUUACUCUGUGGCAGGUAUUACACCUACUGUGUGACACAUAAUGUAAGAGUUUCUUCCAAGUGCUUAUCCCCUGGUCCUUCAUUGCUUGAGUGCAGGAUUGUGAGGUUUAAACUGUGACUGGAGAAGUCAUGACUGUGUUACAGCUCUGAAGGGAAAGGUAUCCUAACAGGAAUGUUACAGCUCUGUUCCAGCAUGGGGAGAUGGGAUGGUUUCCCCAACAAAGUAUUACAGUCGUUGCUCCAGGAAAAGAUCUCCAUGAUGCAAGUGUAACAACUUUACUCUAGAAGGGGAGAGUUUCCCCAGUGAGGUUGUUACAGCUCUGCUCCAAAGAAAUGUUACAGCUCUGCUCAGCUUCACUGCAGUGUGGCAAUUUGGCUCCAGCAUGGCAAGUUUCUCUAGUUCUCCUUUGCUCUGGCUCAACUCAGCUCUAGUGAGAGUCAUUACAACUCUGUUCUGUUCCAGUGAAAGUUGUCACAUCUCUGUUCUGCUCUGCUCCAAAAAAAUAAAGUUCUUACAACAAA